UUGCUUCUAGCUGAACAGUAUGUUAUAAAUCAAUCGAGCAGAGUCAAUUUUCCUUUUCAGUAUACUUGUUUGGUAAUUGGUGUUUUUUUUUUUGGAAACUGGUAGUAAUUGGUGUUUGUUUGUGUAAAGCACAACGUGGCUCAGUUCUGGUAUUUGUGUAGACAAAAUGUCAAAAUACAUUAAUUAACAGAUUAUUUCGUAUAAAGUAUAAUAGUGGUGAAAUUGGUAAGUAUAACUUAUAUAUGAUAAGUACAAUACGAAUGUUUUGUAGAGGAAUGGUAUAAGGAUUUUUUGAGGAUUAAUAUUGUUCUACACAUUCUUCUUGUAGGCAUCUAUUACUAUAAAAGAUGGCUGAUUCUCUCCUGUUGACACAUAGGAUGACACGUCAGAAAUUAAGUCGUUGAGCGUUCGACACGUGUCCUCCUUUAAUGAAACACAUCGUAUCUUUGUUUCUCUACCAUCGGGACUUUGAUUUGGGCUCGACAUCGCGUUAUGUCUGGCGGCCCAAAGACCACUUCACCCUGUAGAAACCCUAAUCUGCGAUGAAGAGUACAUUUGUGUUCUCCUGUUUCACAUCGAUCGGACGUUCCAGUUCCGUAACGGAGGCGUUGUGAUUUCUUCGACUUUAAUCUCAUUGUCUUUAAUCCCACUAAAUCGAACGCCCACUACGAUCUCUUCGGUUAAGUUGUUCAGUCGGCGAUCUCAUGUAUAAAUUGACGGCACGAAUGGACAAAUUAAACCCGCUUGAGAUCAUAAGUCUGAUUCAGACGGCGCGGAUGGAGAUCUUCAAGGGCCUCAGAGACACAAAGGGGAAGCAGUCAGUGUGUUCUUGAAGAAUAUAUUUUGAACAACUCUACUCCCUCUUUUCUUAUUGUUUUCCAUUAGCUACUAUGAUGAAAACCAUCAUCUGUCCGCUAACACAUUUGUCAACGUUUCUGUGUAUAUAUUUCAGACAUUAUCUAUUUCAAAGGUUCAAUUGAUCCAUAUGAUAUAUAUAUAUAUUGUACUACCAUAUGCAUACUGAAAACGACAUAAAGAAAGAGAAACAUCAUGGUUAACUUGAAUAUUGACAGGUGUGUUACAUAAGAAGCACUAUAUAUACGUUAAUAAGUAGAAGUUUAGUUAUGUGUGUGAAUGAUUGUUUGUUCACUUUUUUUCACACAGGAGUGUGACAACGUUUAGCGUGAGUGUUAUCCAACUUGAAACUGCACUUUGUUUUAUCAUGUGUAUGUCAUACAUGGUUUGUGAUGCUGUUGGAGUAAAGGGAAGGAACAUUAUGAAAGCAUCUUCAACUGUCACUACUGAAAUUGUCGAUCACAGAUAAGUCUUUUUAAGGAGAAUACAAAAUCAAUUUUUGUAUUCAGUGAUUCUGAUAUGUUUUUGUAUUCAGUGAUUCUGAUAUGUGUUUCUUUUAGAAUCAAUAGCUAUAUGUAAACAUAGACACAAUAUUUUUUAUUGGGUAUGCUUAGUCACUGAGAAUGAUAAA